UGUUUGCAGAUCAAAACGGACUCCCAGCAGCACCGAAGAAUGACUGGCAGUGGAAAGAUCGCUGCUUUCUGGUUAAUGAUGCCCACCAGUGCAGCUGGAGAAUCUUUUGUACAACCACACGUGGUAAAGUUUGAUGGAGCUGGACCAGAGCGGACAGUGUGCUAACGCGUCAACCUCCACCACCCCACCACCACCUGUUGAGUCCCAUCCUCCUAUCUCCGGCAGGAUAUGACGGUUCCAAGUGCAACUUCUUCAGACCGCCAGAUGGGGCCUACGCCAAAGAGAGACACUUUUCUGUUUUAUAUUCAUCAAAUCGGAACAAUCACAUAGAAAACUGAAGAUUUACAUCAAAGGGGGAUACUGCAGGGGUGGACUCAAAAUUUCUCAAUAAUCUGUCAAAACUGUACAGCAUUUUCAACAAGCAGCCUCUGGUUACCAUGGAAACAUUUACCCUGUCUCCAACACUGUCA